rnacentral:rRNA from 1 species
UACGUAGGGGGCUAGCGUUGUCCGGAAUCAUUGGGCGUAAAGCGCGCGUAGGCGGCCCGGUAAGUCCGUUGUGAAAGUCAAAGGCUCAACCUUUGAAUGCCGAUGGAUACUGCCGGGCUCGAGUCCGGAAGAGGCGAGUGGAAUUCCUGGUGUAGCGGUGGAAUGCGCAGAUAUCAGGAGGAACACCGAUAGCGAAGGCAGCUCGCUGGGACGGUACUGACGCUGAGGCGCGAAAGCGUGGGGAGCGAACAGG